rnacentral:lncRNA from 1 species
UCAGCUCCUGGAUGACUACAAGAAAGGGAACCUCCACAUCAUUCCAGACACUCCUCUGGCUGAGGAAAGAUCAGGAGAUGACAGUGAUGUGUUGAUAGACCCAGGAGAUGAAUAUAUGCCUGAGAAGAAGAACUAGUGUGGAACUGUCAGCCAGGUUUUUGAUGAGUGCUCAGACUGCUUCCUGAUCCAGCACCACAUUUACUAUAGUGGACAGAUGCUCUAGUCUCUGAUGAGGAGUUGCUAGCUGUUAGGAAGAACCUGGAAUGGGCUCCACUGCAUGAGGUUUGAAGUCUCCAGAGCAGCAAAGAGAGUGGGGAGUAGAACUCA